rnacentral:rRNA from 1 species
ACGGGAGGCAGCAGUGGGGAAUAUUGCACAAUGGGGGAAACCCUGAUGCAGCAACGCCGCGUGAGUGAAGAAGUAUUUCGGUAUGUAAAGCUCUAUCAGCAGGGAAGAAAAUGACGGUACCUGACUAAGAAGCCCCGGCUAACUACGUGCCGGCAGCCGCGGUAAUACGUAGGGGGCAAGCGUUAUCCGGAUUUACUGGGUGUAAAGGGUGCGUAGACGGUUUGGCAAGUCAGAAGUGAAAUCCCGGGGCUUAACUCCGGUGCUGCUUUUGAAACUGUCAGACUAGAGUGCUGGAGGGGCAAGCGGAAUUCCUGGUGUAGCGGUGAAAUGCGUAGAUAUCAGGAGGAACACCGGUGGCGAAGGCGGCUUGCUGGACGGCAACUGACGCUGAGACACGAAAGUGUGGGGAGCAAACAGGAUUAGAUACCCUGGUA